CCUACGGGGUGCUGCAGUGAGGAAUAUUGGUCAAUGGACGCAAGUCUGAACCAGCCAUGCCGCGUGCAGGAAGACGGCCCUAUGAGUUGUAAACUGCUUUUGUACGAGGGUAAACGCCGAUACGCGUAUCUGUCUGCAAGUAUCCUACGAAUAAGGAUCGGCUAACUCCGUGCCAGCAGCCGCGGUAAUACGGAGGAUUCAAGCGUUAUCCGGAUUUAUUGGGUUUAAAGGGUGCGUAGGCGGUCGGAUAAGUUAGAGGUGAAAUCCCGAGGCUCAACUUCGGAAUUGCCUCUGAUACGGUUUGGCGAGAGAGUAGUAGAGGUAGGCGGAAUGCGUGGUGUAGCGGUGAAAUGCUUAGAUAUGACGAAGAACCCCGAUUGCGAAGGCAGCGUGCUGCAGCGGAACUGACGCUGAUGCUCGAAAGCGCGGGUAUCGAACAGGAUUAGAUACCCGGGUAGUC
rnacentral:rRNA from 1 species